rnacentral:rRNA from 1 species
UACGUAGGGGGGCUAGCGUUGUCCGGAAUCAUUGGGCGUAAAGCGCGCGUAGGCGGCCCGGUAAGUCCGCUGUGAAAGUCAAAGGCUCAACCUUUGAAUGUCAGCGGAUACUGCCGGGCUAGAGUCCGGAAGAGGCGAGUGGAAUUCCUGGUGUAGCGGUGAAAUGCGCAGAUAUCAGGAGGAACACCUAUUGCGAAGGCAGCUCGCUGGGACGUAACUGACGCUGAGACGCGAAAGCGUGGGGAGCAAACAGG